CAAGACGAUUGGCUGAAAAGUAAAUGCGAAUGUGUGAAGUCUAGGUUCCAAGCUACACAUCCCAAAGGAUGUGAGAGGACAGUGGAGUGCUACAAAUAUGUGAAGGUCUCCAAUGCCCCCGAUACAAUCAAAGUGUUGAUCGGAAAAGAGAAGAUGAUAAGAACG